rnacentral:lncRNA from 1 species
UGAAGAAUCAGCAGAAGACUCAUAAUUAAUAUAAAUCAUUUGCUGAAUAGUCAGACUUGACAGCUCAUUUCCUUUCUUGACUCAUAACGGAAGAAGAUUGAAGGCGCAUAUGUUGGGAAAGAGAAGAUAUAGUGGACCUGAAACUGGUAGCACUAGUAUGGAUAAAGAAGAAUGUGCUCAUCUAAAAGUGUUUGCAGAGAGGGAUUUGACAACAAUGAAUCUUACAGAUAGGAUUUAUACAACAGAAGACUAAAAUGCUUGGGGGUGAUGUUAAGAUAUUGGUUAGUUGACAAAUGAAUCAUCAGCCGUCGGCUAAUAAAAGUGAAGACAAUGGUAUUGACAGUUUAG